rnacentral:rRNA from 1 species
AUGGCGCAAGCGGGGGCGGAGGCGGACGCGAGCUGCCUCGAGAGCUUCGAGCUGUACGAGACCGACUCGAAAUUUUAUAUUCUCGGAACUAACACUGACAAAACAUUAUGGAGAUUACUCAAGAUUGAUAGAAUGGAGCCAUCAGAGCUCAACAUAGAUGAGGAUUCUACCAUGUACUCACACAGUGAAUAUCUUGAUCUACGAAAAACUCUAGAUGAAGACCAUAGGUCAACUGGUGGACUCAAUUUUGUUACAAAUUGUUGUGGAAUCAUUGGUUUCAUUAAGUUCCUUGGGCCUUAUUACAUGUUAAUUAUCACCGAGCAGAGAAAAAUUGGUGCUAUAUUUGGCCAUGCAGUUUACCAAGUUACCAAGACUGCGAUGAUCGAGUUAUCUAAUUCCAAAAUGAAGCCAACACUUCUAAAUUCCAACGAUGAGAACAGGUACAAGAAGCUCUUGCAGACAAUAGAUCUUAGGAAAGACUUCUUUUUCAGCCACUCGUACAAUAUCAUGAGAAGUCUCCAGAAGAAUUUUAAUGAUCCACAGAAAGGAUGGGACCUAUAUGACACAAUGUUUGUAUGGAAUGAAUUUCUAACACGAGGGGUUCGUAACAUUCUGGAAAGUACCUGCUGGACUGUUGCGUUAGUCUAUGGUUUCUUUAAACAGGAUAAAAUCAAAAUAUCUGGGAAGGACACUAUGUUGACUCUCAUUGCUAGACGAUCGAGGCAUUAUGCUGGAACCAGGUAUUUAAGGAGAGGUGUGAAUGAGGAGGGCAGAGUAGCAAAUGAUGUCGAGACUGAGCAACUUGUUUUUGAUGAUACACUUGGACCUGAGCAAAUAAGCUCUGUUGUGCAGAACAGGGGUUCUAUUCCUCUAUUCUGGUCCCAAGAGACAUCAAAGCUUAUUAUUAAGCCUGAUAUCAUAUUGCAUGAGAAGGACAAUAAUUAUGAAGCAACCAGGCUUCAUUUUGAAAAUCUUAGGAGGAGAUAUGGAGAUCCCAUCAUCAUCUUAAACUUGAUUAAGACACGCGAGAGGAGACCGCGGGAAUCCACACUUCGUCAAGAAUUUGACAAAGCAAUAAAGAUUAUAAAUAAUGGUCUACCAGUCGAAAAUCAUUUGAGGUUUUUACAUUGGGAUCUUAAUAAAAGCACUCGAAGCAAAAAUGCAAAUGCCCUCCAAGUACUUAUGAAAGUGGCAUUCGAAGCUUUGAACUUGACAGAAUUCUUUUAUUGUCAAGUUUCCUCAGCUCAAACACCCGGGAGCUCCCUUAAUUUACAUGCUCCAUUGAAUGGUUGUGGUUUUCGUGGAUGUGAUGACAAAAAUGACGGUGGCAACACAGACUGUAUCGAUAAUAAUGGUGACAUAUCCCAAGAAGAUACAUGUGGUAGUUCUGAUACCUCCACUAGUGGAAUUGCAGAAGAUGUAGCCACUAACAAUGGAUCUACAACAAUAAAGCCCCCCAAAUUACAAAAGGGUGUAUUGCGCACGAACUGUAUAGAUUGUUUGGACCGCACAAAUGUUGCCCAGUUUGCCUAUGGUUUAGCUUCUCUUGGACACCAGUUGCAUGCACUUGGUUCUGUAGAAUCUCCAGAGCUUGAUUUAGACUCCCCCUUGGCCCACCAUUUGAUGCACUUUUAUGAGCGGAUGGGUGACACACUUGCUUUGCAGUAUGGUGGUUCGGCUGCACACAACAAGAUAUUCUCUGCAAAGAGAGGGCACCUUAAGUUUGCUAUUCAGUCUCAAGAGUUCUUCAGGACACUACAGCGAUACUACAGUAAUGCAUAUAUGGAUGCUUACAAACAGGCAGCAAUAAAUUUAUUCUUGGGUUACCACCGACCGCAGCAGGAAAAAUUUGCACCUUGGGAAUCAGAGUCUGUUGCUGGGGAGAACGUCCUUGAUGACAAAACAAGUCAACUGAUAAAAAGGGCAAGAUCAGAUGGCAGCAUUCUUCGUAAAAGCAACACUUCUAUGUCCAGCAAUGGCCCAAAUGGAAUUUCAACACCAGGAUUUGAUGAUUUCAAAAAUGAGCUACAACCUCCUAACUGCCGGUCUGGUUCGGUGCAUGAUGCUGUGUCAAAAUUAAGGUAUACUCCAACAGUGCCUCAUACUAAGUAUACCAGUUGCGAGCUUGACUAUGGCAACUUUUCUGGGGAUUCAAAUUUCCUUGAUCUUGACUGGCUUUCAGCUUCAGACAAUGGAAGUUUGAGCAGAUCAAGAGCCGCAAGUACUUCUAAUGUGAAUGAUAAUGGUGCACGUGGUGUAACCCCUGGGAUAACGGAAGGUCACCUGGCAGAGAUACACGCUCAAGGGUUAUCUCACAAUUUCCUGCAAUGGGUUGAUGAGGGAGAGGCUUUUUGGUACUGA